GAUGAACGCUGGCGGCGUGCCUAAUACAUGCAAGUCGAGCGAACGGACGAGAAGCUUGCUUCUCUGAUGUUAGCGGCGGACGGGUGAGUAACACGUGGAUAACCUACCUAUAAGACUGGGAUAACUUCGGGAAACCGGAGCUAAUACCGGAUAAUAUUUUGAACCGCAUGGUUCAAAAGUGAAAGACGGUCUUGCUGUCACUUAUAGAUGGAUCCGCGCUGCAUUAGCUAGUUGGUAAGGUAACGGCUUACCAAGGCAACGAUGCAUAGCCGACCUGAGAGGGGGAUCGGCCACACUGGAACUGAGACACGGUCCAGACUCCUACGGGAGGCAGCAGUAGGGAAUCUUCCGCAAUGGGCGAAAGCCUGACGGAGCAACGCCGCGUGAGUGAUGAAGGUCUUCGGAUCGGAAAACUCUGUUAUUAGGGAAGAACAUAUGUGUAAGUAACUGUGCACAUCGUGACGGUACCUAAUCAGAAAGCCACGGCUAACUACG
rnacentral:rRNA from 1 species